GAUGUAUGAGAGCGUGUUCAUAAAUGUCCAACAAUCUGUUGUUAACGCUACGUAUGGUGUUCGAGAGCUCUCCAUCAGGGCCAUCACGGUUCUUCGACAUGGCAUCUUGUAGUCUGGUUCUAGAUCUGCCAUUAGGGUAUUGAAGCCGACAUCCUCUACCAUUGACAAUGGCUGGACAUCAACAGCAAUCAUUUAUCUAAUCAGCGAUGUGAUUUGAUUAAUCCAUCCAUUAUCACACUCUUUCAGCAAUGCACCUGCACUGCCGCUGUAGCUCAAUUCCACCUUGCAAAGUUUGUAUUUCAUCACCUUCUCCUUUCACUUCUCAAAUUAUUGCCAUACAGGACUUCGCCGCUUUCGCUUCCUCUCCAUUUUUCCAAUUGUUAACGAAGAUGACGUGUGGAAGACUUUAUUUAUAUCCAUGGCAAAUAAUUUGAAAGACGCGUAUCUUCUCCUACUUACAGCAUUAUUGCGGCUUCCAUGUUUUCUUCCUGGACCUUCCCAAUGUCCACCUCUUGAACAUCAGACUCUGAGGCCUCAUCUUCACUGUCACUUUCCAACCUUGAUGAGGACAGCUUGCUGUCAGGCUCAAAAAGCAACAAAGAAAUGCCCUGAUGGCCACCAAUUUUUCAACCCUUUUAUUGGUCAGCCUGUUGCGUGUUUUGGUGUGUGUGUUCCCAAACAAGGACCAGUUGCGUUCUGAGGCGGCUGAUGUUGGUGGGAUUUGGAGGAUGAUGGAGGCAACAGGGGAAAGAGCCUCAGAUCCACAAAGUCCCUUCCACAAGGUGGCUGAUGAGGAAGGAAUGGAGUUUUGCCUCCGUAUGUUCUCUCAGAAGUAUAAUUUGCAGUAAAAAUAAUGAAAAGUUAAAUGUAUCUGAUUUGGAUCAUAUGUGACCUUGUCAUUUGCUGUUCGGAUGGCCAUGAUUGUACGCUCUGACUGCUCUUUUUUUAAUUGGUAAGCAAGCAAUCUGCUAGGCCUAUUGCUAUACUCAUGGUAUUUCUGUUUAGUGACUAUACUCUCCCGAGUAUAGUCCAAGUUUAGUUUAGUUUGGGUUUGGCGCUGUCUGGGGAUUGUUUAUGUACACUGCUCAAAAAAAUAAAGGGAACACUAAAAUAA